rnacentral:rRNA from 1 species
GAUGUCGACAGAGUUUGAUCCUGGCUCAGGACGAACGCUGGCGGCGUGCUUAACACAUGCAAGUCGAACGAUGAACCAGGAGCUUGCUCUUGGGGAUUAGUGGCGAACGGGUGAGUAACACGUGAGUAACCUGCCCUUGACUCUGGGAUAACCUCCGGAAACGGAAGCUAAUACCGGAUAUGACGUACGGAGGCAUCUCCUGUACGUGGAAAGAAUUUCGGUCAAGGAUGGACUCGCGGCCUAUCAGGUAGUUGGUGAGGUAACGGCCCACCAAGCCUACGACGGGUAGCCGGCCUGAGAGGGUGACCGGCCACACUGGGACUCAGACACGGCCCAGACUCCUACGGGAGGCAGCAGUGGGGAAUAUUGCACAAUGGGCGCAAGCCUGAUGCAGCAACGCCGCGUGAGGGACGACGGCCUUCGGGUUGUAAACCUCUUUUAGUAGGGAAGAAGCGAAAGUGACGGUACCUGCAGAAAAAGCACCGGCUAACUACGUGCCAGCAGCCGCGGUAAUACGUAGGGUGCAAGCGUUGUCCGGAAUUAUUGGGCGUAAAGAGCUCGUAGGCGGUUUGUCGCGUCUGCUGUGAAAUCCCGAGGCUCAACCUCGGGCCUGCAGUGGGUACGGGCAGACUAGAGUGCGGUAGGGGAGAUUGGAAUUCCUGGUGUAGCGGUGGAAUGCGCAGAUAUCAGGAGGAACACCGAUGGCGAAGGCAGAUCUCUGGGCCGUAACUGACGCUGAGGAGCGAAAGCGUGGGGAGCGAACAGGAUUAGAUACCCUGGUAGUCCACGCCGUAAACGUUGGGAACUAGAUGUGGGGACCAUUCCACGGUCUCCGUGUCGCAGCUAACGCAUUAAGUUCCCCGCCUGGGGAGUACGGCCGCAAGGCUAAAACUCAAAGGAAUUGACGGGGGCCCGCACAAGCGGCGGAGCAUGCGGAUUAAUUCGAUGCAACGCGAAGAACCUUACCAAGACUUGACAUA